GAAGUCUUCGUGAACACGAGCACCUUUACCCAGCCAGCCACAC
rnacentral:rRNA from 13 species